GAAACAAUAGCUCUGAGCAUAAAAACUGGGGCCUCUUUCUGCCUGGGCUUUACCAGAUCAGCCUGGUUAUGUGAACUAUCUCACUGGUAUGCCAAGGCUGUCCAGGGUUUAGCAUCAAAGAUCCACAUUCAGGAAACCCUGUAGGGAUGGCUGGCCACUGUGGCUCUCUUUUAGUCCCUCUGGGUCUUAGAAGUUACUUUGGAGCAAAAAUCAACUGAUAAGUAUUUUUGCCAAUGCUCACAGCUGGUGUAGUAGGUGUUGCUGAGGCCGCCAUCUUAUAAGGAAACUGAGGUCGAGAGAGGAGUUCCACUGUGGGGAGGCUUGGAGCUGGCUAUUUCCUGCUUUUGGGGCACCUGGGCCUCAUUUUGCUCAAUGGAGAAAUAAUGCUCUCUGUCCUAGGCAAGUCUAGAUUCAGUCACUUAGUACCAAGGCCAAGUACCCAUCUGACGGCUUGUGGAUAAAAGGUAUCCUGCGGCACCUUUGGGAAUGGCAGUGACACUGAGACCCAGAGAUGUCCAGUGUCCUGGGCCAAGUAACAUAAUGGAGGCAGAAACAGCAUUAAAACACCACAGGGGCUGCAGGCACUGGAACCUUCCAGCCUCUAACCCUCCUCCACAGCUCGGAAGACCUAGAAAGAACACCACAGCUCUGCUGGCUAGAACCAGUUAACAGUUUCUUCGUCUGAGAACCCAGGAACUGCUUCUCUGUGUUUGUGGCUAUAUGGGCUGUGGCAAGCUGAUGCACCCUUUAGUCGGCAUCUUGGAAAAGCAUGGCACCAGCCUCCUUGGAUUCCCAAGACAUCCCUGGCUGCCCAAGGGCCUUUGAGGAUUGCACCUCUGUGUGGAUUCCCUUGUCCUUGGCCACUUCCCUGCCUCCUCCAUGCCUCCCGCUGGUCACCCUGUCAUAUCACCAGACGGAUGCUUGCCAGGGCCUGUGAAGAAGUUCCUGAAGAAGUUCCUUUCUGGGCUGUCAGAUGGCUCAGUGGGUAAGAGCACCUGACUGCUCUUCUGAAGGUCCAGAGUUCAAAUCCCAGCAACCACAGGUGGCUCACAACCAUCUGUAACAAAAUCUGACUCCCUCUUCUGGAGUGUCUGACAGUGUACUUACAUAUAAUAAAUAAAUAAAUUUAAAAAAAGAAUUAAAAAAAAGAAGUUCCUUUCUUCCUUUAUUAUUGACUGUUUUCCCACCAUCACUUGAACACUCCAAAAGACUCCUCUUGUGUGCUGC
rnacentral:lncRNA from 1 species